GUAUCCUUAGCUCAGUUGGCAGGGCUGGCAGAAGUCUGGCUGGUAACCAGAUUGCCGCGGGUUCGAUUCCUGCAGGAUACG
rnacentral:tRNA from 1 species